rnacentral:rRNA from 1 species
UACAGAGGUCUCAAGCGUUGUUCGGAUUCAUUGGGCGUAAAGGGUGCGUAGGCGGCGCGGUAAGUCGGGUGUGAAAUCUCGGGGCUUAACUCCGAAACUGCAUUCGAUACUGCCGUGCUUGAGGACUGGAGAGGAGACUGGAAUUUACGGUGUAGCGGUGAAAUGCGUAGAUAUCAGUCGGAACACCGGUGGCGAAGGCGGCUUCUUGGGCCUUUACUGACGCUGAGGCGCGAAAGCCAGGGGAGCGAACGGG